rnacentral:ncRNA from 1 species
CCCGCUGAACUUAAGCAUAUCAAUAAGCGGAGGAAAAGAAACUAACAAGGAUUCCCCUAGUAACUGCGAGUGAAGCGGGAUGAGCUCAAAUUUCGAAUCUGGCGGUCUUCAGGCCGUCCGAGUUGUAAUCUAGAGAAGCGUCUUCCGCGCUGGACCGUGUACAAGUCUCCUGGAAGGGAGCGUCGUAGAGGGUGAGAAUCCCGUCUUUGACACGGACUGCCAGUGCUAUGUGAUGCGCUCUCGACGAGUCGAGUUGUUUGGGAAUGCAGCUCAAAUCGGGUGGUAAACUCCAUCUAAAGCUAAAUAUUGGCGAGAGACCGAUAGCGAACAAGUACCGUGAGGGAAAGAUGAAAAGAACUUUGGAAAGAGAGUUAAACAGUACGUGAAAUUGCUGAAAGGGAAACGCUUGAGGUCAGUCGCGUCGGACGGGGAUCAACCUUGCUUCUCGCUCGGUGUACUUCCUGCUCGACGGGUCAGCAUCAGUUUCGGUCGCCGUACAAGGGUCGAGGGAAUGUGGCACUCCUCGGAGUGUGUUAUAGCCUUCGGUCGCAUGCGGUGGUUGGGACUGAGGAACUCAGCACGACCCCUCGAGGGUUCGGGGCCACGGCCUACGUUAACGUGCUUAGGAUGCUGGCAUAAUGGCCUUAAGCGACCCGUCUUGAAACACGG